AUUGAACGCUGGCGGCCGGCCUAACACAUGCAAGUCGAACGAGUGGCGGACGGGUGAGUAAUGUCUGGGAAACUGCCCGAUGGAGGGGGAUAACUACUGGAAACGGUAGCUAAUACCGCAUACCAUCGGAUGUGCCCAGCUGGGCUUAGCUAGUAGGUGGGGUAAAGGCUCACCUAGGCGACGAUCCCUAGCUGGUCUGAGAGGAUGACCAGCCACAGUGGAGCUGAGACACGGUCCCAACUACUACGGGAGGCAGCAGUGGGGAAUAUUGCACAAUGGGCGCAAGCCAGGUGCAGCCAAGCCGCGUGUAUGAAGAAGGCCUUCGGGUUGUAAAGUACUUUCAGCGGGGAGGCGUUACCCGCAGAAGAAGCACCGGCUAACUCCGUGCCAGCAGCCGCGGUAAUUC
rnacentral:rRNA from 1 species